CACGUAGUUAGCCGGCGCUUCUUCUGCAGGUACCGUCACUUGCGCUUCUUCCCUGCUGAAAGCGGUUUACAACCCGAAGGCCGUCAUCCCGCACGCGGCGUCGCUGCAUCAGGCUUGCGCCCAUUGUGCAAUAUUCCCCACUGCUGCCUCCCGUAGGAGUCUGGGCCGUGUCUCAGUCCCAGUGUGGCCGGUCGCCCUCUCAGGCCGGCUACCCGUCGUCGCCUUGGUAGGCCAUUACCCCACCAACAAGCUGAUAGGCCGCGAGCCCAUCCCCCACCGAUAAAUCUUUCCAGACGCUACAGAUGCCCGUGCGUCUCGUAUCCGGUAUUAGACCUCGUUUCCAAGGCUUAUCCCAGAGUGAAGGGUAGGUUGCUCACGUGUUACUCACCCGUUCGCCACUGAUCCGGUCAGCAAGCUGACCUUCACCGUUCGACUUGCAUGUGUUAAGCACGCCGCCAGCGUUCGUCUCGUGCACGGAUCAACUAC
rnacentral:rRNA from 1 species